rnacentral:rRNA from 1 species
CUGCGGCGUGCCUAAUACAUGCAAGUCGAGCGCAGGAAGCCGUCUGAACCCUUCGGGGGGACGACGGUGGAAUGAGCGGCGGACGGGUGAGUAACACGUAAAGAACCUGCCCAUAGGUCUGGGAUAACCACGAGAAAUCGGGGCUAAUACCGGAUGUGUCAUCGGACCGCAUGGUCCGCUGAUGAAAGGCGCUCCGGCGUCGCCCAUGGAUGGCUUUGCGGUGCAUUAGCUAGUUGGUGGGGUAACGGCCCACCAAGGCGACGAUGCAUAGCCGACCUGAGAGGGUGAUCGGCCACACUGGGACUGAGACACGGCCCAGACUCCUACGGGAGGCAGCAGUAGGGAAUCUUCCACAAUGGACGAAAGUCUGAUGGAGCAACGCCGCGUGAACGAUGAAGGCUUUCGGGUCGUAAAGUUCUGUUGUAAGGGAAGAACAAGUGCCGCAGGCAAUGGCGGCACCUUGACGGUACCUUGCGAGAAAGCCACGGCUAACUACGUGCC